rnacentral:rRNA from 1 species
UACGUAGGGUGCGAGCGUUAAUCGGAAUUACUGGGCGUAAAGCGUGCGCAGGCGGUUCGUUGUGUCUGAUGUGAAAGCCCCGGGCUCAACCUGGGAAUGGCAUUGGAAACUGCCGGGCUUGAGUGUGGGAGAGGUGAGUGGAAUUUCCGGUGUAGCGGUGAAAUGCGUAGAUAUCGGAAGGAACACCUGUGGCGAAAGCGGCUCACUGGACCACAACUGACGCUGAUGCACGAAAGCUAGGGGAGCAAACAGG